GCGAAAACUUUACAAUGCUGGCAACAGCGAUAAGGGAACCUCGAGUGCCAGGUUACAAAUCUGGCUGUCGAGAUGCCUAAAAGGCAUUUCAUAGCAAGGGCCGGGCAAGACCGGUGCCAGCCGCCGCGGUAACACCGGCGGCUCGAGUGGUAACCGUUAUUAUUGGGUCUAAAGGGUCUGUAGCCGGCCGGAUAAGUCUCUUGAGAAAUCUGGCAGCUUAACUGUCAGGCUUUCAGGAGAUACUGUCUGGCUCGAGGCCGGGAGAGGUGAGAGGUACUGCAGGGGUAGGGGUGAAAUCUUGUAAUCCUUGAAGGACCACCAGUGGCGAAGGCGUCUCACCAGAACGGACCUGACGGCAAGGGACGAAAGCUAGGGGCACGAACC
rnacentral:rRNA from 1 species